rnacentral:misc_RNA from 1 species
AACGCACAUUGCGCCCUUUGGCAUUCCGAAGGGCAUGCCUGUUCGAGCGUCAUUAUCCUCCCUCAAACCCCCCUGUCGUGGGGGUGGUUUGGUGUUGGACCACGUCGGAUCGUCCGCGGUCGACGGGUCUCAAAGACAAUGACGGCGUCUGUUCGACCCUCUUCGCACUGAGCUUUCCGGAGCACGCGUCGAGUUGCAAGGUCGCACGGGCCCGGCCAACCCCAUGAAUCUUUCUCAGGUUGACCUCGGAUCAGGUAGGAAUACCCGCUGAACUUAA